rnacentral:rRNA from 1 species
UCGAACGGAGUUGUGCAUUGGAAGUUUUCGGAUGGAAGAAGCAGAACUUAGUGGCGGACGGGUGAGUAACGCGUGGGUAACCUGCCGUAUACAGGGGGAUAACAGUUGGAAACAACUGCUAAUACCGCAUAAGCGCACACUGUCGCAUGACAGAGCGUGAAAAUUUCCGGAGGUAUACGAUGGACCCGCGUCUGAUUAGCCAGUUGGCAGGGUAACGGCCUACCAAAGCAACGAUCAGUAGCCGGCCUGAGAGGGUGGACGGCCACAUUGGGACUGAGACACGGCCCAAACUCCCGCGGGAGGCAGCAGUGGGGGAUAUUGCACAAUGGGGGAAACCCUGACGCAGCGACGCCGCGUGAGUGAAGAAGCAUUUCGGUGUGUAAAGCUCUAUCAGCAGGGAAGAAGAAUGACGGUACCUGACUAAGAAGCCCCGGCUAACUACGUGCCAGCAGCCGCGGUAAUACGUAGGGGGCAAGCGUUAUCCGGAUUUACUGGGUGUAAAGGGAGCGUAGACGGCAAUGCAAGCCAGAUGUGAAAACCCGCAGCUCAACUGGGGGAGUGCACCCCCCCCCGUGUAGCUGGAGUGCAG